rnacentral:rRNA from 1 species
AGGGAAUCUUCGGCAAUGGGCGGAAGUCUGACCGAGCAACGCCGCGUGAGUGAAGAAGGUUUUCGGAUCGUAAAGCUCUGUUGUAAGAGAAGAACGAGUGUGAGAGUGGAAAGUUCACACUGUGACGGUAUCUUACCAGAAAGGGACGGCUAACUACGUGCCAGCAGCCGCGGUAAUACGUAGGUCCCGAGCGUUGUCCGGAUUUAUUGGGCGUAAAGCGAGCGCAGGCGGUUAGAUAAGUCUGAAGUUAAAGGCUGUGGCUUAACCAUAGUACGCUUUGGAAACUGUUUAACUUGAGUGCAAGAGGGGAGAGUGGAAUUCCAUGUGUAGCGGUGAAAUGCGUAGAUAUAUGGAGGAACACCGGUGGCGAAAGCGGCUCUCUGGCUUGUAACUGACGCUGAGGCUCGAAAGCGUGGGGAGCAAACAGGAUUAGAUACCCUGGUAGUCCACGCCGUAAACGAUGAGUGCUAGGUGUUAGACCCUUUCCGGGGUUUAGUGCCGUAGCUAACGCAUUAAGCACUCCGCCUGGGGAGUACGACCGCAAGGUUG